UGAAGGUGCAGCGCCUGUCGGAUGAGUUGUCGGCCGAGUUGUCGGCCUGAAGGUGCAGCGCCCGUCGGAUGAGUGUUGUCGGCCUGAAGGUGCAGCGCCUGUCGGAUGAGUGUUGUUGGCCUGAAGGUGCAGCGCCCGUCGGAUGAGUGUUGUCGGCCUGAAGGUGCAGCGCCCGUCGGAUGAGUGUUGUCGGCCUGAAGGUGCAGCGCCCGUCGGAUGAGUGUUGUCGGCCUGAAGGUGCAGCGCCCGUCGGAUGAGUGUUGUCGGCCUGAAGGUGCAGCGCCCGUCGGAUGAGUGUUGUCGGCCUGAAGGUGCAGCGCCCGUCGGAUGAGUGUUGUCGGCCUGAAGGUGCAGCGCCUGUUGGAUGAGUGUUGUCUGCCUGAAGGUGCAGCGCCUGUCGGAUGAGUGUUGUCGGCCUGAAGGUGCAGCGCCUGUUGGAUGAGUGUUGUCGGCCUGAAGGUGCAGCGCCUGUUGGAUGAGUGUUGUCUGCCUGAAGGUGCAGCGCCUGUCGGAUGAGUGUUGUCUGCCUGAAGGUGCAGCGGCUGUUGGGUGGGCUGCACCACUAAUCUGUGUCCACUCAAACACAUCCCUGAGGCCUCUCCCUCUGGAGGGAUGGAGCCCGAUUCUCCCUCGUCUGACAUUCCUCCAAGUACAAUGGAAUUUAUCACUUGCUGGCUUAUACUGCCGACACUUCCGGCGGAAACAUCAACCAUCCGACUGGGACUGGAGGGCUUGAGUUCUAGGGACAGACUGGGACUGUUUUCCCUGGAGUGAAGGAGGCUGAGGAGUGACCUUACGGAGGUUUAUAAAACCACGAGGGGCAUCGAUAAGGUGGGUGUUCGCAGUCUCUUCCCCAGGGUAGGGGAGUCUAAAACUAGGUGUAGGUUUGAGGUGAGAGGGGAAAGUUUUACAGGGGCACAUUUUUCACACAGCGAGGGGGUGGGUGUAUGGAACGGGCUGCCAGAGGAAGGGGUAGAGGUGGGGGCACAAUUACAACGUGUGAAGGACAGUUGGACAGGUAGAUGGAUGGAAGAGGUUGAAGGGGGACAUGGGCCAAUUGGGAAGAGCUGAGGCGGGCACUUUGGUCGGCAUGGACUGGUUGGGCCGAAGGGCCUGUUUCCCUGCUGUUAUUGCUCUAUGAACCUGCAGGGUGAGUGUUGUUGGCCUGAAGGAGCAGCGGCUGUGGGCCGGGUGCUGUUGGACGGGCACCCUCGGCUGGACGGGCCGGCGGCCGGUGACGGCGGACCAGCCGAGUGGGGGGAG